AAAACUCCCAGAAUAUCAUACAGGUUUGGAACAACAUGAGGGUGAAUAAAUGAUGACAAUUCUCAUUUUAGAGUGAACCGUCCCUUUAA